UCCCACUAGGAGUCCCCCAAAGUUCUUCUGGUGUCCGAUUCUCCAUUCUCUUCCCUCUGGCGCAUCUUCUGUCCCCGAGUCUUCAGCCCCCCGAGGGAAGGAAGAAGCUCCCUCCUGCCAAAGGUGGGGGGCGGGAAGAACUAAAGAAUUAUUUUUGAUGCCUCUAUUGAGUACCUCUUCUUUUCCCUUCAGAAAGGACCAGCCCUCUUUGCAGGCAGCCCAAAUGGACUACAAGAAUGGUUAACAGAGUACUGGGUUAAAACCUUACCAAGUGGCAUUAAAAAAAGAAAACCGAGGACAACCAGGAAGAUACUUACCAGACUGGUGCUCUGAAUGGGCUCUGGCACAGCCUUAGCUGCGGAUUCAUCCUGGCCAGCACCACUGGA